UUGUAUAUCUUUAUUCAGAUAAAGAUAACUCAGCGUACAAUUUUUGUAUCGUAACCACAAAAAAAAAACAGAUCUAUUCCAAAAUUUGUUAAGUUACAAAAAAAAUUCAAAUUUGUACAUGAAAAAAAAAUUUUUUUUUCACGACAAUAAAAUAACACUAUACGUGUUUCGUUUGAGCAGAAUCGAGAUAUUGGAAACUUCUUCGUUCAUCUAUAUAAGGGCAACAGCUUAAAUCAUCCUUCUCUUUGCUAGUGAUUGGAAAUGUAUUGAACAACUCCGUAAUACUACAUCUCAUAUUCGAGUCAAGUAUCAAUUUGGCAUCGUUUU